AGUAAAUACCAUUGAGAUUGCA
rnacentral:miRNA from 2 species